ACACUCCUGCGGGAGGCAGCAGUGGGGAAUUUUGGACAAUGGGCGAAAGCCUGAUCCAGCAAUGCCGCGUGUGUGAAGAAGGCCUUCGGGUUGUAAAGCACUUUUGUCCGGAAAGAAAUCCUUGGCUCUAAUACAGUCGAGGGAUGACGGUACCGGAAGAAUAAGCACCGGCUAACUACGUGCCAGCAGCCGCGGUAAUACGUAGGGUGCGAGCGUUAAUCGGAAUUACUGGGCGUAAAGCGUGCGCAGGCGGUUUGCUAAGACCGAUGUGAAAUCCCCGGGCUCAACCUGGGAACUGCAUUGGUGACUGGCAGGCUAGAGUAUGGCAGAGGGGGGUAGAAUUCCACGUGUAGCAGUGAAAUGCGUAGAGAUGUGGAGGAAUACCGAUGGCGAAGGCAGCCCCCUGGGCCAAUACUGACGCUCAUGCACGAAAGCGUGGGGAGCAAACAGGAUUAGAUACCCGUGUAGUCCCAUG
rnacentral:rRNA from 1 species